CCUUCUAUACGGGGUGGGCUAUCACCUCGGCACUGUUGGCAAGUACAGCUGAUAGACAGCCUACGCUCUCCAUUGGUAGACACCUAAUAUCAAGCGGAUUGAGAGAAUAGCUAGGGUGGCAAGAAGGAUCAGCGAAGGAGCGCCCAACUUCGCCCCUACCUCUUUCUCUUCUGCCUCUUCAACCCGCCUCCCUUCUCCCCUCCCCCCUCCCCCAUACCGUCCGCCCCUUUGCUCCUAGUAACAGAAUAAACACUGCGCAGGCUCCGCCCACCAAGGGGAAGGAGGCAGAAUGGACAUUUGUUUGCGCGCGCGCGUGACUUUGGCAUAGGCUGCAGGGGCUGUGAGCAGGUGAGGAUGGUGAGUCGACCCGCCCUUGCAAGGAUCAUCGUCUUUCCUGAACGAGCUAGCCAGGAAGACAAAUGCAGUUGUUAACUUCUCAGGAGCAGAGUUGUUUCCAUUGCAGCGCUGGACGUGCGGUGGCUUGAAUUAUGAACUGACCCCGUGACCACCAGUUCAUCGGAAAGCAAGGCUUUGUCAUGGUAGAGAGCCCCUUAAAGGAUGUCACCUGAGAGCAUGACCACCAAAAGUCAGCCAACUAAAGUAGAUGUGGGAUGAGCAGGUCACACUGGAGGGAAAAUGAUUCUCAGCUAUUCAGGCUGAUUAUAUUAGUUUCAUAGAUCAAUUAUUUGGAUGUAGACAUGGUCUGGAAGGGACCUUGGAGAUCAUCUAAUCCCAACUGCCUCAUUUUACAACUGAGACCGUGACAGUGCAAUAUUGUUCCAUGACAAUCACAUGCCAGAAUUUCUUUGGCCAUUUCCCAAAGGGUACACCAUUAAUUUCGAGAUCUUUGCUAGUAUGAAACCUACUUAUUUUAGAAUAGAACCAUUCCACCACCAUGAAAGAACUUAUAUUACAGUGUUAUCUCCAUAAUAUACCAAGAGGAGUGGUGGCCAGGAAGGAACACUUGGUCUGGAAAUUAAAGGGGCUAAAAAGCAGUAGAUUGACACAUCCCAUCCAGGAACAGUGGAGAAUUGUUUUG